UGGGCGGCGGGGCUGGGUGGAGGGGAGGGGGGCGGCGGGUAGCUAGGGUUUGAGGGGAAUGGGAGUUUAAUUGGGAAGAGGAGAAGAAAUGGGUAUGAAAACCCGUCUGGAAUGUUUUUAAAGAAAAACCGACGAACAAAACCAACCCUGUCCGUUGGUUUUUUCUGCACGUUUGACCAGAUUUGACCCAAAAAUUAAAAAAAAAAAAAGGAAACCGACCCUGUCCGUCAGUUUCCUAAAAAAAAUUGUUUAUUAUUUAAAAAAAAAUAAAAAAUUGAAUUGCAUAUUAUUUAAAAUAUUUCUAUUUUUUAAACCAACGUCGUCCGUCGGUUUUAUAUUAAUUAUUAAUUUUUUUUAAUAAAACCGACGUUGGCGGAUAUAUAUUUUCAAAAUUCUGCCAAAAAAACCGACGUCGUCCGUCGGUUUUCUAAUUAAAAUAAUUAAAAAAAAAUAGAAAUGUAAAAAACUGACGCAGAGAGUCGGUUUUCCGUCGGUUUUUUAAACCGACACUGUGCGUCGAUUUUUUGUCCGUCGAUUUUUGACAGUUUUUUAGUAGUGAUGCUUAAUUUUCUUUUCAGAUCUCUCCUCCUCUGUUGUGACUUUGUGUUUUUUGUUUGACCCUGCUUGUGAUCGUCCUGCAAUUGACUUAUGUUUGUAGUUGUGUUAGCACUUCAUGAUUUUCUCAUUUCAUAGUCCUAAUCCUCCAAUAUGGUAUCUGCGAUUUAUCACUAUUGAGGAUCCUCUUUUGUGCACUCACCAAUUCCAUAAUAUUCUGGCACCUAAAAUUCCUUUUAUCUAGUGCAUGAUAAUCUAGGGAAUCUGCUAACGUGUUUCCUUCCCAUAGAAUGUCAGUAUACUUGACCUGAAUUCCUCUACCAAUUUCCCAAAUCUCCUCAAUCCACAUAGCAAUGUUCCAAGGUGGCUUCCAUUUCUAUAAUAAAAUUUGUUAUAUUAGUUUUUGAAUCAGUCUGAAUGAUUAUGUUUUUCGUCUGCUUAUUUUUACUAAAUUCGAGAGAUAAAAGGAUUGCAAUAGCCUCUGCUUCAGUAUUGGUUGAGUAACCAAUCUCCUUUGCUUGGGUAUUGAUUAGAUAUCCUUCUGAAUCUCUCAAACAUAAACCAUAAGAACCUCUUCCUGGGUUCCCCCUUGAAGCAUCAUCUGUAUUAUACACAAACCAACCUUUUGGGGAAAAGUCCAUGAACUUUAGUAACUUCAGUAUAGCUUCCCCCCCUUCCAGCAUUUGAAUCAUAGAACUCCAUCUGUACGGUACCUACCUUAUGGAUGUAUUUCUAACUUGUACUAACCUUUGAAUUGUUGAGGACACUUGGUAAAUGCUACUUCCCACUGUCCUUUUUUCUUCAUGCUUUAUAACAUUUCUUCUCUUCCACAGUUCCCAGAUAUAAAUAGCAGCAACUGCUUGAAAUAUUGGUUUGACCCUAUUUGUAACAAGGGCUUAUCACCAUUUCACGAUAAUAUGUUGUAGUUGUAAUCCUUCCACAUUAAUACAUGCAAAAGAGCAAAAGUAGGAUUAGGUCCUGUUAGCUGAAACUGUCUUGGCAAAUAGAUGUUGAAUUUUUUCCUCCCCCGGAUUUUCACAACACCAACAUCUAGAUACCAUAUUAUACUUCAUCUUCCUCAGUACAUCAUCCAGUGGUACUUUGUACUUCCAACACCUCCAUAGAAAGAAUGAUAUUUUAAAAGGAAGCCCUUUCAUUCACAUGUGCUUGUAGAUCUCAUUUUUCUGCCCUCUCAACCUUAAAUAAUCCCAAGCAUACUUCACAUAAAACUGCCCUUUUGAAUCAAGUAACCACCAAGGUUUAUCCAUCUCCUUCAGCAAACAUGGUGGCUGGAUAGUAUCAAUGAAGUGUUAUACUAUGUCUUGAGGUAGUAAUUCAUGUAACAGCUCAGUAUUCCACCUUGCAUUCUGACUGACUUCAUUGGCAUUCUGAAUUUUCUCAUCAUAGUAUUAAUAUGUUGUAGCAUAAUAUAGUGCCCCCAAUCCUGUCCAAUUAUCAAACCAAAAUUGAGAAUUUCUCAUUUUUGUGCCAGCAUCUCUGAUGCUCUAUCAAUUAUUCCCUUGCUUAUAACAUUUUCUUCCAUGUCGGAGAACCAUAUCUCCUUUGUGUUAUCACUGCAUUCACCUCUUACAAUUUUUUUUUUUUUUUUUUUUAAAAUACUCUAUAGUGAAGGUUUGGUUCUAAAAUUCCACCAUAGCUUACCCUACUAAGACCAUAAUCCGUUCAUGAUUUUCAUAAGAACUGGAUUAUAAAAAUCCUUCUUUCUCCCGCUGUAGAAAAUUGGACACCCAAAGUAAGUAGAGGGGAAUUCCUUUUUGCCUAUUCUAGUUGUAGUUUCCACAAUUAUACUGAUAUCUCCUAAUACAUAAUGGUGCAUGAAUGCUGAACUCUUUUCCUUAUUGACUCUCUGCCCUAAAGUCUUCUCAUAAUUCCCCUGUACCUCCAUUAUCAAUUGUAGUGAAAAUAGGUCUAAUAAGGAAAAAAUGAUCUUAUCAUCUGCAUAAGCUAGGUGAUUGAUAUUAGGACCCCACUUAGUCAUCCCAUAACUUUUUUUUUAAAAUUGUUUUUAUUACAUAGGGGUAGGGGAAGGGGAAAUGGGGGAGGGAAUUACAGCGUGGGGAUUCGAACCCUCACUAACAAGGUGAAAGUUCAGUAGCCAACCAACUGAGCUACUAGAUCCCUACAUCCCCCUGAAUUGUGGAACUUGAUGUAAACCAUUCAGAUUUCUGGAUAAUACCUCAACUGUUAUUAUGAAAAAGAAAGGGAUAGUGGAUCCCCUUGGUUCACUCCCCGUGAUGAUUGAAAAAACCCUUACUGUUGUCCAUUGAUUAGGAUAGAAUACCCGUUGUUGCUGAAAAUUUAGAAAAUCAUAUCAAUUAAUCUUUUUGAAAAGCCCAGUUUCCUUACCACCUUAGUCAAAAAUAGCCAAGAGACCUUAUUAUAUGCCUUUGCCAUAUCCAAUUUAAUCACCACAUUAGUAGUUUUGGCUCGUAGUCUUAUAUCUGAUAUGAUUUCCCGAGUCAGUAAUAUAUUUUUCACAAUACUUCUCCCCUUUACCAACUCAAUCCAUUUCCAACUUUUCCCACUGAGAUACUACCUUUCUCUGUUGGUCUUACUAAUCUCCACAAAAGGAAUCUCUUUAUUAAAGUUUAUCUUCUAUUAAAAAUGAUGUCCUUGAAAUCGUGUUAUGAACGUUAUAUGUGUGAGAUAUCACAUGAAUUUAUCUUUUUCUUAAAUGGUGAUAAUUAUUUUCAUAAAUGAGACAAAAGUAGUGCUGAAAUUUUCUUUACAAGUGAGCAAAAAAACGUGUUUUGAACGUUAUAUCACAUGUAUUUUUUUCUUGAACGAUAAUAAUUAUAUUCGUAAACGAUAAAAAAGUAGGUGUGGAGUUCUCUAAACAAGUGAGCAAAAAAACAUGUUUUGAACGUUAUACAUGUGAUAUUUCACAUGUAUUUGUUUUUUUCUUGAACGGUAAUAAUUAUAUUCGUAAACGACACAAAAGCAGGUGCGGGGUUUUCUGUACAAGUGAUCAAAAAAUGUGUUUUGAACGUUAUACAUGUGAUACUUCACAUGCAUUUAUUUUUUUCUUGAACGGUAAUAAUAACAUUUGUAAACGACACAAAAGUAGGUGCGGAGUUUUUGGUACAAGUGAGCAAUAAAUGUGUUCUGAACGUUAUACAUGUGAUACUUCACAUGUAUUUGUUCUUUUGUUGAAUGGUAAUAAUAACCUUUGUAAACGACACAAAAGUUUGGUGCGGAGUUUGUUGAAACAUGUGAUUAAAAGUUAUACACGAUGUAUCUCACACCAUAUACACCCAUCCAGUUUUAACUCUUGUUAUAUUUCCCUUUUACCAAUGAUACACUAGCGUUCUCUCUGCCGCAUCUCAAUUAGAAAACAUGUUUUCAGUGGUACAUAGGAUGUAUCACACAUAAAUAUGUACUCUUCCACUUUCUACCUCAAUCUCUAUCUGCUCCUCUUUAUAUUCGGUUGCUCACUACUACACCACUUACUGCGACUAUAAACAGGCUCGUUACUGAAUUUCACUUAUUGCCAUCUUUGCACCUCUCAAUAUUCCUUUUCCCAUCGUGAUACUAGCUUUCUUAGAAAAAGUUAUCAUCAAAGCCCAUCACCAAUAAUCAUUGAUAAAAUCUACCACAAACCACCAAUGACAUUCAAUCCUUUGUGAGCCAAGCUCUCCUAGAUGACAAAGUUAAGAAAGUUAUUAUGCAUCACUUAAUUGCCAAGCUUAAACUUAAGUUCAGUUGUCCAUAUACAAGCAAAGAACAUAUUCUUCCAAGAGAAGUUAUGGAAGCGUGCAUAAGAAGCUGGGUAUCGACUCUAAUUCUCCUAAAGCUAACCCUUGGAUUCUCAAAUCUGCUUUGUCGAAUUCACUGAUUCCCUCUCACUGGCAUAAGUUCUUCAAAAUGUGGAAGGGAGUUCCAUCAAUAGACUACCUUCCUUUCCAUAUUUAGCUGUUCCAAGGAUAUCAAGAAGGAAAGGAAGAAGCGUGAGGGAAAAUGUAGCAACAUGUUUCUAUCCCUUCAAAUCAUCCCGGAAGAGCUUCAACCUAUUUGACCUGAAAAAUGGUACCAGUAAUUUUAGCGAAGAAAAUUUAAUUGGGAAAGGAGGCUAUGCUGAAAUUUACAAGGGUUGUUUGGCUGAUGGUCAGCUUGUCGCAGUUAAGCGCCUCAACAAAGGUACAACAGAGGAACAGGAACCAAGCUUCCUAUGUGAAAUUGGUACUAUAACACAUGUACCAUCCUAAUACAUUCAGAGGAGACCCGCAGAUUGUUUUACCAAAAUUGUGCAGAUUUUGGAAGAUUUAAUAAUGUCAGCUAGUAUAGUACCUGAUGCACAAAAUCCUUCAUAAGUAGAAUAUUAUCAGCUUUGGUAUCUCUGUGUAUACUCCGCCUUUGGCGAUUAUCAUGAAGAUAAAGUAGGCCGUGUGAUUUUGUACCUGGCGACCUAAUCUAAGCUUAUCCCUUGAGCCUAAAAAAAUUGAAAACAGUAAAGUGCCUUGUGUUAAGAGCAUAAAUGGGCGGUUAAUCAAUUACAAGAACAAAAAUUUUGUCCUGUAAUGAGAAAUUUUGAGACAGACCACGAAAAAAAUGAUCCUAAGCUCCCUUGAGAAAAUAAUUGAAGAACAAGAUAUGUGCCUCCUUCCACUCCAUAGCCAACCAUCCCUGCAGUAUUAUGGAUGGUCUACAUGUGCUAUAGUACCAAUUUCACAUAGGAAGCUUUGUUCCUGCUCGUCUGGAGUACCUUUAUUAAGGCGCUUAACCGCGACACGCUGACCAUCAGGCAAACAACCCUUGUAAACUUCAGCAUAUCCUCCAUUGCCAAUCAAGUUUUCUGUCAAAGAAAAAGAUCAACUCUAGAAUACACAUUUAUGCUCUAAAACUUUCUCAAAAAUGAAAUAGAAUCAUGGGAGCUUCGUGAAAGAGUAGUAGAUGUAGAAAUGUAUUAGCCUGAAUGCCAAAAAGAGAGACGUCAAAUCAGAUUAUAAACCUUCGCUAAAAUUAUUGGUAGCAUUUUUCAGGUCAGAUAGGGUGAAGUUCUUCCAGGAUGAUUUGAAUGGAUCGAAACACGUUGGUGCAUUUUACCUCACGCUUCUGCUUUUCCUUUUGGAUAUCUUUGGCACAGCUAAAGGUGGAAAAGAAGGUAGUCUUUUGAUAGAACUUCUUUCUCACAUUUUGAAGAACUUGUGCCAGCGAGAGGACAUUCGUGGAUUUGACAAGCAGAGCUGAGGGUUUAGCUUUAGGAGAACUGGAGCCAUUCUCCUGGUUUCUGAUGCAUGCUUCAAUAACCCCUCUUGGAGAAGAAUCAUCGUGGUUCUCGUUUUGCAUCUCAAGCAAUCUGAGGUCUACAACAAAAUAUGAUCCAUCAGAGGCGAAACAGAAGAAAAAACAAGUCAUACACAAUGUCUUUUUUGGAAUACAGCUGAUGUCACCUUGAGCAGAAGCCGUGGAGGAGAGAUUAUUAUUCUGUCCAGCAACAACUUUGUUUUCUGAGGUAUGUACUGCAUCAAUACUUAUUUCAGCAAUAGUUUUAACUUAUCCGAAUCAUAUCAAAUCACAAACUAACAGACUAACUCUUUCCUCUUAUGCUUUCCUUGGUCUUGCAUCAAGGAAAGUAGAACUAAUCCCAAAACCAUGAAUUCAAUAUGAUUGCAGGAAGUUCGGGUUUAAAGCAUAUAUUCAAGCAAGGCAACAAGGUAGCAGAUGACUAGCAAAGUACGGAAGUAAUUCGGAUGUUUUUGAAAACUUAAUAUUCUAUGAUGUACCCUUUUUUUUUUUUUUUUUUUCUUUUUUUUUUUUUUUAUGCUUUAGCAUCUUAUGAAAAUGAUCUAGGUACUUGUAUCCUAGACAAAUCAAGCUAUGUAAUAAACUUUAGUAAUAAUAAUAGUAGUUUCUUGAAAAUGAAAA